UCUCCGUUGGUAAACCAGCGGAGGGAUCAUUACCGAGUUAUCAACUCCCAAACCCCUGUGAACAUACCCAACGUUGCUUCGGCGGGACCGCCCGGCGCCCUCGGCGUCCCGGAACCAGGCGCCCGCCGGAGGACCCAAACUCUUGUUUAAACCAUAGUGGCAUAUUCUGAGUCUCACAAGAAAAAUGAAUCAAAACUUUCAACAACGGAUCUCUUGGCUCUG
rnacentral:misc_RNA from 1 species